GAUGAACGCUAGCGACAGGCUUAACACAUGCAAGUCGAGGGGCAGCGGGGAUCGAAGCUUGCUUUGAUCCGCCGGCGACCGGCGCACGGGUGAGUAACACGUAUGCAACCUGCCCGUCACAGGGGGAUAAUCGGGAGAAAUCCCGUCUAAUACCGCGUGACAUCUUCCGGAGGCAUCUCCGGGAGAUCAAAGGAAGCGAUUCCGGUGACGGAUGGGCAUGCGGCGCAUUAGCUAGUCGGCGGGGUAACGGCCCACCGAGGCGACGAUGCGUAGGGGUUCUGAGAGGAAGGUCCCCCACACUGGUACUGAGACACGGACCAGACUCCUACGGGAGGCAGCAGUGAGGAAUAUUGGUCAAUGGGCAAAAGCCUGAACCAGCCAAGUCGCGUGAGGGAAGACGGUCCUAUGGAUUGUAAACCUCUUUUGUCGGGGAGCAACGACGCCACGUGUGGUGGAAGGGAGAGUACCCGAAGAAAAAGCAUCGGCUAACUCCGUGCCAGCCGCCGCGGUAACAC
rnacentral:rRNA from 1 species